rnacentral:rRNA from 1 species
GACGAACGCUGGCGGCGUGCCUAAUACAUGCAAGUCGAACGCAUUUUCUUUCACCGUAGCUUGCUACACCGAAAGAAAAUGAGUGGCGAACGGGUGAGUAACACGUGGGUAACCUGCCCAUCAGCGGGGGAUAACACUUGGAAACAGGUGCUAAUACCGCAUAAUUCCAUUUACCGCAUGGUAAAUGGAUGAAAGGCGCUUUUGCGUCACUGAUGGAUGGACCCGCGGUGCAUUAGCUAGUUGGUGGGGUAACGGCCUACCAAGGCUGCGAUGCAUAGCCGACCUGAGAGGGUGAUCGGCCACACAGGGACUGAGACACGGCCCAGACUCCUACGGGAGGCAGCAGUAGGGAAUCUUCGGCAAUGGACGCAAGUCUGACCGAGCAACGCCGCGUGAGUGAAGAAGGUUUUCGGAUCGUAAAACUCUGUUGUUAGAGAAGAACAAGGAUGAGAGUGGAAAGUUCAUCCCUUGACGGUAUCUAACCAGAAAGCCACGGCUAACUACGUG